rnacentral:lncRNA from 1 species
AUGAGGCAGAUCCCUCUUCCACAGACUACAGGAGGCCUGGAGAGGACCAAAGGCGAGAGUAACACAGCCUGUCAGUUUUCUCCAUCCAAGACUGUCCCUUUGAGGAUGGUCCUCAGGGUCAAAGCGACUACUGGCUAUCCUGCAGCCCUAAGCUCCCAGAGCUCCAGGCUCCCACAAGCUCCCAAGGUGUCAGCCAACUCCCCUGAGCUGUUUGAAGAGUUCUGGCCUUCCAGUUCAGGGACCUCAUCCCCACCCAGCACCACUGAGGGACAGAUGGACUCCUCCUCACCGCCCACCCUAACUGACAGCGGGGAGUCUGUGGUGGCCAAGUAUAUAAACAGGUUCCGCCAAGCUCAGCCCACAAGCCGAGAGGAACGACAGUGUACAGACCCUACCCCAACUGAUUUUUGGUGGCUACAGACUGAGUCUUCAGACCCAAGCAGUCAACUUGCAGCAGGACCCAGUAAACCAGAAGGAAGGCGCAGUCCAGCAGUCCCAGCUCCACCCAAGGUUGCCAGCACAUCCCAGGCUGUGGCUCCCCUUCAGAAAAUAAAGCAGAGCCUCAACACAUGGAACUCAUCCCUGCUGGACCUGGAGACACUGAGCCUACAAAGCAGAGCUUCCAGGCUGCUCAAACGCAGCAAGGCCUCCAUCUCCUCCUCAUCCCUCAGCCCCAGCGAUGCCAGCUACUCCUCCUUUCCUGUCAGCUCCAGUGGCCUCUCUCCCUUCUCCAUAACCUUCGCUCCUGAAUCCAUCAAGGACUCUGGCCUCAGAACAGCUGCAGCCCCAGCGCCAGCCCAGGCCCCCAUUNNNNNNNNNNNNNNNNNNNNNNCACCCCUUCGGCCGGAUGACAUUUUGUACCAGUGGCGGCAGCGGCGGAAGCUCGAACAGGCUCAAGGGGUCAAGGGUCACGGAACCUGGGUGCUGCCCCAGACUCCUGCCCUUGCCACUCAGCCUUCUGCCCCUGCGGUGACCCUUGGUUCCCUGGCGACCCAGCCUACCUGGGUUCCACUGUGGGGCAGUGUGGCCCAGCCAAGUCCUCCCGAGGCCUUCUAUGUGGAGAGGCCUCCUGUUCCCCUAGAGUCCUCUCCUCACAUCUUUUGGGCCCCCAACACCCAUGGGUUCUUUUGGACCCCACAGUCUAGUCCCUGGGUAUCUCUCGGGACCGCUCCUCCCCCCCCACUGGCCUCCACCCCAGUUCCCCUGGCUCCCCCGGGACCCCCAGCCUCCACCUCAGCUCCCCCGGUCUCCAGCCAGACUUCCCUGGCCUCCAUCCCAGCUCCCCUGGCCUCCUCCAACUCGACUCCCCCCACCACCGCUCCCACAUCCUCUACCACGCUCCAGAGCCCGCCUACCCCCGAGCCAAGCAGCUCUAGUCAGCCGGAGAACGUAGGCCCCAAGCCUCGGAAGGCCAGAGCUUCGGGCUGGGAGGCAGCCGGGCAAGUCACAGCGGCCUUCGAGGGGCCAGGCGCGCAGCUUAGGGGCGCCCUGGGCCAGGUGGUGACCGCGCGGCUGUUCUCGGAUAGCCUGGAGGACACGCCCCCUCGCCGUGAGGCCCCUCCCCUGGAAGUCAAGGCCACGCCCUCCAGGGCUAGGGCCACGCCCCCUCGGUCCGAAUCCAGUUGUCCGUCUAAGGUCAAGACCAUGCCCUCGCCAGACGAAUCCGUGCUUCGGCAAGGCAAAGUCACUCCCUCAGCCAAAGCCGGGUCCCCAAAGCCUAAGGUCCUACCCUCUCCAGCUGAGAGGGUGUCCACACUCCCUGAGGCCCCAUCGCCUCUGCUGGAGUCUGGAUCUCUUGUGGCUGCUGCCCCGCCCUUGUCCGCGAUUCACCAUGACCCCUCUGAGGACCUGUUCUCCCAAGCCGCCCGACUUCUGGAGGCUGCGGAAGACUCUGACGGCAGCGAGUUUCAGGAUGACCCUGUACUGCAGGUGCUUAGAGCCCAGAGGGCAGAGCUGCGACUGCAGAAGAGGAAAGUGGAUUCGAGAUUAUCUCUCCUGAUGGGCCACACUGAAGACCUGAGAUCUUGGUCCCCUCCAUCCAAGUCACCUCCCAGGUCUCCAAGGAGGUGGCUGUGGAGAGAAGGAACGUCUUUUGAGGCCAGAUGACUUUGAACUGAAUAAAUUGUUUUCCCCAAUGAAAUAUUUUUUUCCAAGUAGAGUCAAUGUCAUGUCCCUUUGAAACUGUGCCCCCUCAACAAAUAGAAUACAGAGGAAAGGAUGCAGCUUAACUUCCAAAGUUCAAUUUUAAAAGAUGAUACUGACUACCUAGUUUACUUUUUCUUCCUCAUUCUCUUACUCUUUGACACUUGCUUUAGAGACUGGUUUUUAAAACUUGCCAUGCUAAGGAUGGAUUACACAAGUGUAUGCACUUACUAAUCUCACUGAAAUUUGUGAAUUUCAUUGUAUAUACAACUAACCUCAGAAGAAAAAUAUAUUUGAGCUAUAGCUAAAGGUAUCUAUGCUAAAAUAUUUAGGGAAUAGUGUACCACUCUGCAAUUUGGACUGAAAUACAAAGACUAGUUGGACAAUCUUUGUAAGCAGAUAGAUGUGAGAUAAGGCAAAUAUAGUAAAAUGUUUAUAAUAGGAUCUAACUAUGGACAUAUGGAUGUACGCUGUAAAAUUUUUCAACUUACUAUAUGUUAAAAACUUUUCAUAAUAAAAUGAUGGAUAAUAUAUGAUCAGGAUUGUCUUGAUAUCUGUAUUGAUAAACAAGGGGAUAGAAAGCUUG